rnacentral:tRNA from 4 species
AGCUUUAAAAGCUAAAUGGCUAGCUGUUAA